rnacentral:other from 1 species
UACAUCCUGCGAUGUUCGUUUCGAUUCCACGUUGUUUUGAACCAAUGUUGGUUUCUUGGGAGUUCUAUAUUGCAACGCGGCUGUCACGCCCAUACGAUGGGACUUCAAAAGCGUUUCUGCGGACACCCACCUGCGAGAGCGGGUUCAGAAACAUAAGAAUCGGACGGCAUAGGCGGGUUUUUU